rnacentral:rRNA from 1 species
CAGUCGCCACGGUAAUACGAAGGGGGCUAGCGUUGUUCGGAAUUACUGGGCGUAAAGCGCACGUAGGCUGACAUUUAAGUCAGGGGUGAAAUCCCGGGGCUCAACCUCGGAACUGCCUUUGAUACUGGGUGUCUUGAGUGUGGAAGAGGUAAGUGGAAUUGCGAGUGUAGAGGUGAAAUUCGUAGAUAUUCGCAGGAACACCAGUGGCGAAGGCGGCUUACUGGUCCACAACUGACGCUGAGGUGCGAAAGCGUGGGGAGCAAACAGGAUUAGAUACCCGCGUAGUCCCUGUCUCUUAUAA